UACGGAAGGCAGCAGUGGGGAAUAUUGCACAAUGGGCGAAAGCCUGAUGCAGCUAUGCCGCGUGUAUGAAGAAGGCCUUAGGGUUGUAAAGUACUUUCAUCGGGGAGGAAAAACAAAACUAAUAAUUUUAUUUCUUGACGUUACCCGAAAAAGAAGCACCGGCUAACUCCGUGCCAGCAGCCGCGGUAAUACGGAGGGUGCUAGCGUUAAUCAGAAUUACUGGGCGUAAAGAGCACGUAGGUGGUUUUUUUAAGUCAGAUGUGAAAUCCCUGGGCUUAACCUAGGAACUGCAUUUUGAAACUGAAAUACUAGAGUAUCGUAGAGGGAGGUAGAAUUCUAGGUGUAGCGGUGAAAUGCGUAGAUAUCUGGAGGAAUACCUGUGGCGAAAAGCGGCCUCCUAAACGAAUACUGACACUGAAGGUGCGAAAAGCGUGGGGAGCAAAACAGGGAUUAGAUACC
rnacentral:rRNA from 1 species